CUUAGCUAUUAUUACAAAUUCCUUCUGCUACUCUUCUCUGUAAUUUUAUGAUUUUAUUUUUCUAUCAGCAACCCAAUGCAGGCAUGGAGACUGCGGCCACUGGAUUCAUUCAGGGUUACCAGGCAUAUGCAGCAAUGAGUCAUGGAAAAUCAGAAUUAUCAUCAUCAAGGUGAUGGCUGAUGUGGUCCAGAGGAAGGAGGGGGAUUAAAGAAGAGGCGGCUGAUAGGCCCAAAGAAACAAGAUAACUGGCUUUGAGCAAUGGCAUUCUGACUCACAAGAGCUCACCUGUUCUCAGAGAAGAUGGAUAAAACCCAAUUUCACUCUGGCUGUUUCCACAGUCAUCCUUGCUUUCAUCGGCCGUGGACCUGGACUGAGGACUGAGGCCUCUGUGCGAGACUGACACCUUGACCAGAGCAACUGCUCAGCGAGAGCCAACGCUCCCAUUCGACCUGCAGACUGAGAAUUCGACAGCUAAACUUUUUCUACCUACUUUACACUCUUGCAGGUAUCAGAUUUCUAAUUCUUGACUUCCACAGAUGACAGCCCCCCCAAACCAGUAAUGGUGAGUAACCUUGAGAAGUUAUUUUAAGAUGCAGCAAUGGACAACAGUCUUUCCUCCUCCUCCUUUUUAAAAAUUAUGUAUUAAAUUUUUUUUAAUGUAGAAUUUUACUAUCUUUUGGUCAAAGAUGCAUUGGUAUAAGCAUUAUCCACUGAACUUGUUAGUGCAAUCUUUCCCUUUCACAAUAAGUGUAACAUAUUCUUAUAUAUGGUACAGGGGGGUGGUCUGAGAGAGACUAUGGAAUAUGCAUCUAAAACAAAAGAUAAGAAAUAAAAGGCAGGAAAGAAAAGGCUCCCUACAAGGUAUCAGCAGUUUCUCGAUGAUGAGGAUGGAGGAACCUGGGAAUAUCAAAAAGUUACCAAAAUAGUCAGGAGAGGAAAUAUAUGUGGAAAGAAGGGGGAAAGGGUAUAAAAUUAUUUCUAAUUCAAAUCCAGUCAGCAACUUGGAUACCUCCAGCCCAAAAGUUAACCACAGCCAUGUUUUGGAAGUUCUGAUUCAUACGCACGGGUGCUUGUUGUUCAAUCUUGGUUUGGCUCCUGGGCUGUUGACUCUUUAUUCCCCACCUGCUGAAUGAAUUGAGUCCCUGUGUUAAAACAAAGAGCCUGUGAUGGUCCUCAGGAAAUAUCAUAGUUUACACAAAGUAGUCUGUUGACUAUUUUUCAGUUAAAAAUUUUUUUAAUUAAAAAAAUUUUGACCAGGACAAUAAUAGAACAUAAUUUGCAACUAGUCAGGAAGGCAACUGGUCCCAAGAGAGGAAAGAAAGUGAUAAUAAAGGGAUGCCAUCUCUGGGUGAACAGCGUGAUGCAAUGACACAAAGACAAGACUUGAAAGCAUGACAAAUAUGUUACAGGUUAGAAUAAUUAUCUUCCAAGUGGGAACUAUUUGAAAGGCAUAAUGUAGCCUGGGCGAAAGGCUAGUUGAAUCUUUAAAUGAUCCAGGUCAGCGUCCAUUGUGGUCUUCAUACUGAUGACGGAGACUGGGAGCAUCACAGUGGAAGUCAAGCAUUUUAGAACCUUGAGCUGAUCUAAUCCCAUCCCUUCAGUUUACAGGUGAGGAAGCUGAGGUCCAGUGAGGGUAAAUGACUCUCCCAAGGUAGCACGGCUAGCCAGUGACAAACCCAGAAUGAGAACCGGUUUCCAGCUCAGAGGCUGUUCCUUCAACCACACUGCCUCCAAGGUAGACAGAGGACCCACGAGAGGCGUGUGGGGC